CCCUUAGAUGUUCUGGGCCGCACGCGUGCUACACUGAGUAAUUCAAUGGGUAAGGGAACGCUAGAGCAUUACCUAAUCUUGAAAUUUGCUCGUGAUGGGGAUCGACGGUUGCAAUUUCCCGUCGUGAACGAGGAAUACCUUGUAGGCGCAUGUCAUCAUCAUGCGCCGAAUACGUCCCUGCCCUUUGUACACACCGCCCGUCGCUCCUACCGAUUGAGUGAUCCGGUGAGGCUCUGGGACCUGGACGGAAAGAGCGUUUCGCUUGUUCUGUUUGGGAAACUUGGUCGAACCUUAUCAUUUAGAGGAAGGAGAAGUCGUAACA
rnacentral:rRNA from 1 species